rnacentral:rRNA from 1 species
UACGUAGGGGGCUAGCGUUGUCCGGAAUCAUUGGGCGUAAAGCGCGUGUAGGCGGUCCGGUAAGUCCGCUGUGAAAGUCGGGGGCUCAACCCUCGGAUGCCGGUGGAUACUGUCGGGCUUGAGUACGGAAGAGGCGAGUGGAAUUCCUGGUGUAGCGGUGAAAUGCGCAGAGUAUCAAGGAGGAACACCAAUUGCGAAGGCAGCUCGCUGGGACGUUAACUGACGCUGAGACGCGAAAGCGUGGGGAGCAAACAGGAUAGAUACC